rnacentral:rRNA from 1 species
GACAGAGGGCUCAAGCGUUGUUCGGAUUUAUUGGGCGUAAAGGGCGCGUAGGCGGCGCCGCAAGUCAGGUGUGAAAUCUCGGGGCUUAACUCCGAAACUGCAUUUGAUACUGCGGUGCUUGAGGACUGGAGAGGAGACUGGAAUUUACGGUGUAGCAGUGAAAUGCGUAGAGAUCGUAAGGAAGACCAGUGGCGAAGGCGGGUCUCUGGACAGUUCCUGACACUGAGGCACGAAGGCCAGGGGAGCAAACGGG